rnacentral:rRNA from 1 species
AUAAACGCUGGCGGCGUGCCUAACACAUGCAAGUCGAACGCAUUCGAGCAAUCGAGUGAGUGGCGGACGGGUGAGUAACGCGUGGGUAAAUCUACCCUGUGGUGAGGAAUACCAGCGAGAAAUCGCUGACAAUACCGCAUAGGUUUCCUCCAAUGGAAACAAAGCUUCGUAAGAGGCGCCACAAGAUGAGCCCGCGCCCGAUUAGCUCGUUGGUGGGGUAAUGGCCUACCAGGGCGACGAUCGGUAGUUGGUCUGAGAGGAUGAUCAACCACACUGGGAUUGAGAACGGCCCAGACUCCUACGGGAGGCAGCAGUGAGGAAUUUUCCGCAAUGGGCGCAAGCCUGACGGAGUAACGCCGCGUGCAGGAUGAAGGUCUUCGGAUCGUAAACUGCUUUUACCAGGGACGAGAAUGGACGGUACCUGGCGAAUAAGUCCCGGCUAACUACGUGCCAGCAGCCGCGGUAAUACGUAGGGGGCGAGCGUUAUCCGGAUUUAUUGGGCGUAAAGGGUGUGCAGGCGGUUUGCCAAGUUCGUGGCGACAGCCAUCGGCUUCACCGAUGGAGGACUGCGAAAACUGGCAGACUUGAGAGCGAGAGAGGGACAUGGAACUCCGGGUGGAGCGGUGACAUGCGUAGAGAUCCGGAAGAACACCAACGGCGAAGGCAGUGUCCUGGCUCGUCUCUGACGCUCAAGCACGAAAGCUAGGAGAGCGAACAGGAUUAGAUACCCUGGUAGUCCUAGCUGUAAACGAUGACCACUAGACACACGGAGAUCGACCCUUUGUGUGUCGCAGCUAACGCGAUAAGUGGUCCGCCUGGGGAGUACGACCGCAAGGUUAAAACUCAAAGGAAUUGACGGGGACCCGCACAAGCAGCGGAGCGUGUGGUUUAAUUCGAUGCAACGCGAAGAACCUUACCAGGGUUUGACAUCCAUGUGACAUCCUUCGAAAGAAGGCUCCUGAUCACAGGCACAUGAACAGGUGCUGCAUGGCUGUCGUCGGCUCGUGUCGUGAGAUGUUGGGUUCAGUCCCGCAACGAGCGUAACCCCUAUCGGUAGUUACAUUUUCUAUCGAGACCGCCACUCUAGGGUGGAGGAAGGUGGGGAUGACGUCAAGUCAGCACGGCCCUUACAUCCUGGGCCUCACACACGCUACAAUGGCCAGAACAAUGGGCUGCCAACUCGCGAGGGGGAGCGAAUCCUAUCAAAACUGGUCCCAGUUCAGAUUGCAGGCUGCAACCCGCCUGCAUGAAGAUGGAGUUGCUAGUAACCGUAGGUCAGCAUACUACGGUGAAUACGUUCCCGGGUCUUGUACACACCGCCCGUCACACCACGAAAGUCGGCAACACCUGAAGCCGCUGAGCUAACCUUUCGAGGAAGCAGGUGUCGAGGGUGAGGUCGGUGAUUGGGGUG